CCCUGGCAGCUGGACCUGGCGGAGCUGCAGAAGGAGCUGCAGAAGAGCCGCAGCGUGUUCCCUGAGAACCCCUCGGUGUGGGUGAAGGACCUGGCUGGGUACCUCAACUACAAACUGCAAGCACCCAGGAGUGACCCCGUGCUGAGCCAGCACCCUCACGACUACCCGUACUGCCUGGUGGGCAAGGAGCUCAGGGGCAUCAUCCGCUCCCUGCUGGCCAAGGCCUCCGACGUCCUGGAGCUCUUCUUUGACCACUGCAUCUACACCAUGCUGCAGGAGCUGGACAAGGCCCAAGGGGAGUCCCUGCACGGGUACAGGAUCUGCAUCCAGGCCCUGCUGCUGUACCGGCCCCGCAUCGCCACCACCAACCUGGGCAAGGUGAGCUGGCCUGGGCUGGGUUUGCCUGNUGUCACUGCCGUGUCUGGGAGGAUCCCCAAGGAAGCCUCUGAUGGCUGAACCUCCUCCCUGUAGCACUGGUGGGGCCCUGGGAGUCGCUGGCGCAGUUCUGUGCCCUGGCUGGCUCUGCAGAACCUGUCUGUCUGUCCUGCCUGUCUGUGUCUGUCCUGCCUGUCCUGGUCGUGUCUGGGCACGGAGGGUUCCAGAACUGGCCGAGGCAGGCUGGGUUGGGGUGAUGUGUCCCUGGGCUGGCAGGCAUUGCUGGCUCAGCUCCUCCACAUCCCCCUCGUGCCCUGGGACCUCCACUGCCCCCAAAUGAGGGGGUUCCCUCUGCAUGCCCCUGCCCUGGGUGGGGUUCUCUGCAUGGUUCCAGUAUCCCUGCACACCCAGUUUUGCCCACAGUGACAGGACUGUGUGGCAUUCCCGUCCUUCCUGGGGAGGCAGGGCAGCCAGAGCUGUCCCUGUGCUCAGGGGUCAGCCACUGUCACCUCACUGAGGGGGGUUUGGGACAGAUGUCAUUCCCUGUGUGGCACCAGCUGGUUUGUGUGGAGUUCCUCUCACCAGGUGAGGUGCCCAGGGUACCUGGCUCAGUGAGGCAGUGGGAAACCAAUCUCACAGCUCUGAGCCUUGCAGCAAGCCCUGCUGGAGCAGCCCCACGGAGCAGCAGGUGUCAAAGCAGGGAUGGUGGCAGUGCAGGAGGGGUGGGAGCUGCUGUUGCUGCCUGGUGUGGUGCUGAGGGCUGUUCAUUGGGUGGGUUUGGCUGCUCAGGGCUGUGUCCUCCCUCGCUGGGGGCUCUGGGUGUGCAGAGUGGAGCAGCCCCGGCUGGGAUCAGCCCAGGUCUGUGCUGGCCAUGGUUUGGGUGAUGGGCUCCCUGGGCAGGGCCAGCUGCCCCAGGCCAUGCAGCUCCAGGGUGUUCCAUGUGGGCUGGGAUGGAGCUGGAAGCAUUGCCCUCCAUGCCCCUUGGGACCC
rnacentral:lncRNA from 1 species